UUGUCUACCACCCUGAAAGUGUCCAAUAUCAUCUGAUCUUAGAAACUAAACAGGGUCAGGCUUGGUUAGCACUGGGAUGGGAAACACAUUUAUCAACAAUUUAAAUGACAAU
rnacentral:rRNA from 1 species